rnacentral:rRNA from 1 species
AUACGGAGGAUGCGAGCGUUAUCCGGAUUUAUUGGGUUUAAAGGGAGCGUAGGCGGGAGCUUAAGUCAGCGGUUAAAUGGUGCGGCUCAACCGUGCCCUGCCGUUGAAACUGGGUUUCUUGAGAGUGCAAGAGGCGGAUGGAAUUCAUGGUGGAUCGGUGUAAUGCUUAGAUAUCAUGAAGAACUCCGAUUGCGAAGGCAGUCCGCUGGGGCACGUCUGACGCUGAUGCUCGAAGGUGCGGGAAUCAAACAGGAUUAGAUACCCUGGUAGUCCGCACGGUAAACGAUGAUUACCCGCUGUCGGCGGUAGACAGUCGGCGGCCAAGCGAAAGCGAUAAGUAAUCCACCUGGGGAGUACGCCGGCAACGGUGAAACUUAAAGGAAUUGACGGGG